rnacentral:rRNA from 1 species
GACGAACGCUGGCGGCGUGCCUAACACAUGCAAGUCGAACGGGAACUCCCGGUUUGGGGGCGCACGGGUGCGAAAGGCGUGGGAACCUGCGCUUAAGCUCGCAAUAACUUCCGGAUAGGGUUAGUAAUCCGGGAUAAUGUCUUCGGAGCAAGGAUUUCUCGACGUUGGUGGGGGGCGCGUUGGAUUUGCUAGUUGGUGGGGUAAAAGCAUACCAAGGGGUGGAUCCGUAGCUGGUUGGAGAGGAUGAACAGCCACACUGGGAGUGGGACCCGGCCCCGACUGCAGCGGGAGGCAGCAGGGGGGAAUAUUGGACAGUGGGCGAGAGCCUGAUCCAGCAGGGCCGGGAGAAUGAUGAAGGCGUUAGGAUUGUAAAGCUGUUGUACCCGGGAUGAUAGUGACAGUACCGGGAGAAUAAGCACCGGCUAACUCCGUG